GUAGCCACAUCACAUUGAAACACUGGUUUGUAUACGAUCACUGAAGUUAAUCAAUGUUGAGCUUGAUCAGUACCUUGAUGAGUGACCACUUAGGAAUACCAGGUGCUGUAAG